rnacentral:rRNA from 1 species
GAUGAACGCUAGCGGCGGGCCUAAUACAUGCAAGUCGAACGGAUAUAUGUUUUUCGGAAUAUAUUAGUGGCGCACGGGUGAGUAACACGUACAUAACUUGCCCUCAAGCGGGGGAUAGCCUUGGGAAACUGAGAGUAAUACCCCAUAGAAUUAUUGGACGGCAUCGUUUGAUAAUUAAAACUACGGUGUUUGGGGAUAGAUGUGCGUCUGAUUAGCUAGUUGGUGAGGUAACUGCUCACCAAGGCGACGAUCAGUAGGGGGCGUGAGAGCGUGGCCCCCCACACGGGUACUGAGGCACGGACCCGACUCCUACGGGAGGCAGCAGUAAGGAAUAUUGGUCAAUGGAGGGAACUCUGAACCAGCCAUGCCGCGUGAAGGAUGACGGCCCUCUGGGUUGUAAACUUCUUUUGGAUGGGGCGAAAAAACGGGAUUUAUCCUGGACUGACGGUACCAUCAGAAUAAGCACCGGCUAACUCCGUGCCAGCAGCCGCGGUAAAGUAGUCG